rnacentral:rRNA from 1 species
AGAGUUUGAUCUUGGCUCAGGACGAACGCUGGCGGCGCGCCUAACACAUGCAAGUCGAACGAGCGAGAGAGAGCUUGCUUUCUCGAGCGAGUGGCGAACGGGUGAGUAACGCGUGAGGAACCUGCCUCAAAGAGGGGGACAACAGUUGGAAACGACUGCUAAUACCGCAUAAGCCCACGGGUCGGCAUCGACCAGAGGGAAAAGGAGCAAUCCGCUUUGAGAUGGCCUCGCGUCCGAUUAGCUAGUUGGUGAGGUAACGGCCCACCAAGGCGACGAUCGGUAGCCGGACUGAGAGGUUGAACGGCCACAUUGGGACUGAGACACGGCCCAGACUCCUACGAGAGGCAGCAGUGGGGAAUAUUGCACAAUGGGGGAAACCCUGAUGCAGCGACGCCGCGUGGAGGAAGAAGGUCUUCGGAUUGUAAACUCCUGUUGUUGGGGAAGAUAAUGACGGUACCCAACAAGGAAGUGACGGCUAACUACGUGCCAGCAGCCGCGGUAAAACGUAGGUCACAAGCGUUGUCCGGAAUUACUGGGUGUAAAGGGAGCGCAGGCGGGAAGACAAGUUGGAAGUGAAAUCAAUGGGCUCAACCCAUAAACUGCUUUCAAAACUGUUUUUCUUGAGUAGUGCAGAGGUAGGCGGAAUUCCCGGUGUAGCGGUGGAAUGCGUAGAUAUCGGGAGGAACACCAGUGGCGAAGGCGGCCUACUGGGCACCAACUGACGCUGAGGCUCGAAAGUGUGGGUAGCAAACAGGAUUAGAUACCCUGGUAGUCCACACCGUAAACGAUGAUUACUAGGUGUUGGAGGAUUGACCCCUUCAGUGCCGCAGUUAACACAAUAAGUAAUCCACCUGGGGAGUACGACCGCAAGGUUGAAACUCAAAGGAAUUGACGGGGGCCCGCACAAGCAGUGGAGUAUGUGGUUUAAUUCGAAGCAACGCGAAGAACCUUACCUGCUCUUGACAUCCCAUUCGAUAGAGGGUAAUGCCUCUAGCCCUUCGGGGGAAUGGAGACAGGUGGUGCAUGGUUGUCGUCAGCUCGUGUCGUGAGAUGUUGGGUUAAGUCCCGCAACGAGCGCAACCCUUAUUGUCAGUAGCCAGCAGGUGAAGCUGGGCGCUCUGAUGAGACUGCCGGGGAUAACCCGGAGGAAGGUGGGGAUGACGUCAAAUCAUCAUGCCCCUUAUGAGCAGGGCUACACACGUGCUACAAUGGCGUAAACAGAGGGAAGCGAAGGAGUGAUCCGGAGCAAAUCUCAAAAAUAACGUCUCAGUUCGGAUUGUAGUCUGCAACUCGACUACAUGAAGCUGGAAUCGCUAGUAAUCGCAGAUCAGAAUGCUGCGGUGAAUACAUUCCCGGGUCUUGCACUCACCGCCCGUCA